rnacentral:rRNA from 1 species
GGCAAGCGUUGUUCGGAAUUAUUGGGCGUAACGGGCGCGUAGGCGGUUUGACAAGUCUGAUGUGAAAUCUCUGGGCUCAACCCAGAGUCUGCAUUAGAAACUGUCGGGCUUGAGUAUGGGAGAGGUGAGUGGAAUUUCCAGUGUAGCGGUGAAAUGCGUAGAUAUCGGAAGGAACACCUGUGGCGAAAGCGGCUCACUGGACCAUAACUGACGCUGAGGCGCGAAAGCUAGGGGAGCAAACAGG